CAGAGUUCAUGCCCGAAAGGGUAGACCUCCCACCCUUGUGUAUUAUUACUAUGUUGCUUUGGCGAGCUACCUUUGGGGUCUUGUAUGCUCGCCAGAGAAUAUCAAAACUCUUUUUAUUAAUGUCGUCUGAGUACUAUAUAAUAGUUAA
rnacentral:rRNA from 1 species